rnacentral:rRNA from 1 species
GACGAACGCUGGCGGCGUGCCUAAUACAUGCAAGUUGAGCGCUGAAGGUUGGUACUUGUCCCGACUGGAUGAGCAGCGAACGGGUGAGUAACGCGUGGGGAAUCUGCCUUUGAGCGGGGGACAACAUUUGGAAACGAAUGCUAAUACCGCAUAAAAACUUUAAACACAAGCUUUAAGUUUGAAAGAUGCAAUUGCAUCACUCAAAGAUGAUCCCGCGUUGUAUUAGCUAGUUGGUGAGGUAAAGGCUCACCAAGGCGAUGAUACAUAGCCGACCUGAGAGGGUGAUCGGCCACAUUGGGACUGAGACACGGCCCAAACUCCUACGGGAGGCAGCAGUAGGGAAUCUUCGGCAAUGGACGAAAGUCUGACCGAGCAACGCCGCGUGAGUGAAGAAGGUUUUCGGAUCGUAAAACUCUGUUGGUAGAGAAGAACGUUGGUGAGAGUGGAAAGCUCAUCAAGUGACGGUAACUACCCAGAAAGGGACGGCUAACUACGUG